GAAAUGCGAUAAGUAAUGUGAAUUGCAGAAUUCAGUGAAUCAUCGAAUCUUUGAACGCACCUUGCGCCCUUUGGCUAUUCCGAAGGGCAUGCCUGUUUGAGUAUCAUGAACACCUCAACUCUCAUGGUUUGCCGUGAUGAGCUUGGACUUUGGGGGUCUUGCUGGCCUAUGGGUCGGCUCCUCUCAAAUGAAUCAGCUUGCCAGUGUCUGGUGGCAUCACAGGUGUGAUAACUAUCUACGCUUGUGGUUCUCCAUCAGGUAACCUUCAGUGAUGGAGGUUCGCUGGGGCUCAUAAAUGUCUCUCCUCAGUGAGGGCAGCUUUUUGAACGUUUGAUCUCAAAUCAGGUAGGACUACCCGCUGAACUUAAGCAUAUCAAUAAGCGGAGGAAAAGAAACUAACAAGGAUUCCCCUAGUAACCU
rnacentral:rRNA from 1 species